GAGAGCUGCUAGGGCGGCACCGGCCUCGCUCCUCCAGCCUGCCCUCAGCCCCGCUCGGGGGGCCCCGCUGCUGCCUCAACCGCACCCUGUGGAAGGGCGGCCUCCAGGCUCUGCUCCUGUGCCCAGCGAUUUCCCAGAUGAGGGGGUGAAGCGGUUGCUUUGCUCGCGUCCGGCAUCCCAGGUGGAUGGGAGACCCUCGGGUGCUGGUCCCUGGGUUAUCAGUAGGGGCAAGCAAUUCUAAUACAGCACAUUUACUGUGGAAGAUCUUGAGUUGCUUCACAAAUUAGGGUCAAGAACAGAGUCUUCAGAUAGUCAAUUUUACCACAGAUAUGGUAUGUUUAAAUAACAGAGAAAAUAUUUUUGUAUGACCAGGAUGUUGUCUUUAUCUGUUUUGUUAGCAAUAGUGAACAGUGAUAAACAGAGUCAGAAAUCAUCUUGUUCAAGGUAUAAUUGUUCAGUGUGUGUUACUGGGGAAUGUAAAUUAGUAUCAUGAACAUCUUAGAACUUAUGUCUAAGAGGCACUGUUGACAUUGCCUUCUACUUACCAACAUUUUUACCUCUUUGGGGUGCUUUGUAAGACUAACCUUGUUAAAAAUGAUUUUUUUUUGUCUAAAUAUGUGAAUACCGUCCUUCAGCAGUGCAUUUAGUUUGGGUCAGCUUAGUUUAUUUUGUCCCAUAAACUUCCAGAAAUUUUGCAGUUGAUUUGUAGAUCAAUUUGAGAACUACAAAAUUGAUAAUAGAUAUGGGAAAUGCAUAGAGCACCUGCACUUAGCAGAUACGGAUUUUUGUUACUUGCUCUGUAACUGACUUUUUGUGCAGCUAGCCUUUUCUUCCCUGCACAUCUGUUUGAUGGUGUCUAAGACAAGGUUAACAAUAUCUUCAGGAACUACUUCAAGAUCCCCAAAUGAAAGGGCUUGAUGUUAUGUAUCAAAUCUAGUAGACAAAACUUUUCUCCCGAUAAAAAAGAAUUGCUUAUAGAAGUCAGUCAGGUUAUAAGAAGUUUUAUUAGGCAUCUCUUAUGAAUAUAAAUAUUAUCUUGUUAUUAUUAUGAGAGCUGUUUGGCACCUCUGAAAGGCUUCCCAUUUUGUACUGUAUUUGUAAAAUGAGAUCUUGUGUUAAAUUAAAUCUUAAUUUGUACAAGUAAUACAUUUUGGAAAAAAAAAAUAAUGCAUAUACUAGCUUGAGCUGUAUACUGGGAUUUACAGUAAAUCAUAGAAUGAUUCAGGUUGGAAGGGAUGUUAAAGAUCACCUAGCUCCAAACCCCUUCCAUGGGCAGGGACACCUUCCACUAGACCGGUUGCUCAGACCCCCAUCCAGGCUGGCCUUGAAUGCUGCCAGGGAUGGAGCAUCCACAACUUCUCUGGGCAACCUGUGCCAGUGUCCCAUUGCCCU